rnacentral:lncRNA from 1 species
CUGAAGUCAGACACUUGUUGAUCUGCUACUCUCAGGUUGUUUCAGCAUGGACGCUAAUUUCAGGGUUCUGUGGGAUAAAGAAAACAAAAUCAUUUUGCUUCCCUUUUUUCAGGGCUCUCGCCUAUUCUUCAGAAGCCGUUAAGGUGCCUUCCCUGUGAUUUAGAGGCAUCGCCUAUGCAGGCAAUCAAAGGAUGUUGAUGGAUAAGUGUUUCAGGCAGAAUAAUGGCCCUCAAAGAUGUUGACACCAGAAUCUUCAGAACCUUUGCAUAUGUUACCUAACAUGACAAAAGGGACUUUGCUGAUGUGAUUAAGGUUAAGAACUUUGAGAAGGGAAGAUUAUCCUGGAUUAUACAGGUCGACGUUUAUUUCUUUCUGAACUUUCCUGGAGGAUCAUCGGCCAUACUCCAGCAGAAGGGUGGAUUUGAAAAAAUAACGUUUCCACGGCAACAGUGGCAGCAAUUCAAAUUUGACUUGGGGAAGAAGAAGAAAAGAAGGUGGAUUUCAGCAUGAAAGAAUCUAAACAGUCAUUAGUGAACAAAUGUGUAGCAGUGCUGUCCAACAGAACUUUCUGAAGAAGUAAUGGGAAUACUCUGUAUCUGUGAUGUCCUGUAUGGUAGCCACUGGCCUCACACAGCUCUUGAGCACUUGAAAUGUGGCUACUGUGACUGAGUAAUUGAGUUUUAAAAUUUCAUCAAUUUUAAUUAAUUGAAAUUUAAAUAGCCACAUGAGGCCAGUGACUACAGAAUUGAACAGCACAGGUCUCACAGAUGGACUAAGAGUAAGCCAGUUACGAAGAAGCUUAUACAGGAAGACCGGCUAAAAUAUGUCAAAGGAGAGUUUCUCUUUCUGAACUCCGAGGAGCUGUUCAAAUAAGACUGGUCUGGAGAGAGUUUUGGGUGGCUGGAGGUAUUUUCACCCCUCCACUUACUGUGCCUAACCUUAGUAUUGUUGCCAUUCUCACGUUUCUGUAUGACUCCAUCUCCCUUGUUCUGUUCCGAUGCCGCUUUUUCAGUUUUUCUGAGCUCUCAAUUAAACACAGUGAAAUGAAUCUCCUCCAAGUGCCUUUUUAGUGACUAAACUGAAUAGUUGGCUCAGAAUGCUACAAAGUCCUCUCCCUCAGGAAGAACCAAGUUUUACCAUUAAGAUCCUGAUAGAUUUACCAGCUUUAACUGACACCUCUUGGGGUGGCUUCCAGAUUCACACUUUCUCCUUUUUGAGAAGACUCCCAGACACACGGGGAUAGGUCCUGAGUGAUCAUAUUUGAGCCACACAAUCUUGUUACGCUUGCUGUAGAUCCAUGGUUCAAAAACAUUCAAGUGUGUCUGACUCAGCUGGAGGACUUGUGAAGACACAUGUGGUGGGACCCAUCCCUAAAGCUUCUUUUCCAGUAGGUGUGUAGGUGUGGCCCAAGUAUCUGCAUAUCUAACAAGUUCUCAGGUGAUACUGAUGUUGCUGGUCUGGGGAUUGUACUUUAAGAUAAUUAAGUCAGGGACUGUUGCCUGACAUAGGACAAUAAGCUUCUCUCAGGAAUUUGAAAUUUGGAACAAAGAGCUCGGAGUCUUAGUGCUAGUAGACCAGUGCUCUGGAGAGGUCUGAAAACUACCACUGCUUAGGUUCCUAGUUUGUCCAGUUCCUGUUUGUCUUGAGCCUUGGUUGUCUAAUCCUUUGAAUAAAUCCCAUUACAUUCUUUGUUUUGCAUAAACUGGCCAUAGAAAGUUCUUGUUGUCUGCCC